CAGUAGCCGCGGGAAAACGGAGGGGGCUAGCGUUGUUCGGAAUUACUGGGCGUAAAGCGCACGUAGGCGGCUUGGUAAGUUAGAGGUGAAAGCCUGGAGCUCAACUCCAGAAUUGCCUUUAAGACUGCCGAGCUAGCAGGUGAGAGAGGUAAGUGGAAUUCCGAGUGUAGAGGUGAAAUUCGUAGAUAUUCGGAAGAACACCAGUGGCGAAGGCGGCUUACUGGCUCAUACUGGACGCUGAGGUGCGAAAGCGUGGGGAGCAAACAGGAUUAGAUACCCCAGUAGUCCCUGUCUCUUAUAC
rnacentral:rRNA from 1 species